AAAGGUGGGUUUAUGGUGAGUUUUUUGGAGCAGUUCCAUUAAGCGAAACCAUGGAAGAUGAAAGGCGGUUGUACUGGCUCAACGGCCUUGCUCACAUAGCCGGAACCAUCAAUAAAGAGCCAACCCGGUGUAUUUAUAGCGUUCACAGGCAACAGAAUAUGCCGUUACAUGAUAGGAUCGUACCUUACUUGGAAAGGGCUGGGUUGUACCACCUGGCUAGGUUGAACGCGCAUUGGUUCUGGUUGAAUGAGCCUCUGGUCAGCGCAUUUAUCGAGAGGUGAUGGCCUGAGACUCACACUUUCCAUAUGCCGUUCGGAGAGUAUACUAUCACGCUCCAGGAUGUGGCAUAUCAGCUGGGGCUGCCCAUGAAUGACCAGCCUAUUUCUGGGUACAUGACUGACUUCCACCUGCAUAUCGAGGGGACCAGACCGGCGUGGGAGUGGUUUCAGGAGCUAUUUGGUGAGUUUCCGCCACUGGAUAAGAGAAAGUUAUACACAGUCCACUUCACAUGGUUCCAUGAGAGGUUCAAGGUAUUACCGGCUGAUGUUUUCGAGGAGACCGUGCGCAUACAUGCACGUGCGUAUAUUAUGACGCUUCUGUCGACAUAGUUGUUCAUGGACAAGAGUGGUAAUCGGGUCCACCUUUGGUGGUUGUCAUUUGUGGCGAGACUUGACAACAUGGGUAGCUAUAGCUGGGGCUCAGCUGCACUGGCAUGGUUGUACCGAUGCAUGUGUAGGGUGGCAAACAGAAACGUCACCAACUUAGUCAGGCCCCUACAGUUGCUACAGUCAUGGAUCUUUUGGCGGUUCUCCACACUGAGGCCGCAGGGGUUUGACGCUUUUUCUUUUCCGUUGGCAUCCAGAUGGGCCACUUAUUUACCCACGUCUGAUGGGAAGGAACAAAGGACAAUUCAGUAUCGCCUGAC